rnacentral:rRNA from 1 species
AUUGAACGCUGGCGGCAGGCUUAACACAUGCAAGUCGAGCGGGGUGAUGGUGCUUGCACUAUCACUUAGCGGCGGACGGGUGAGUAAUGCUUAGGAAUCUGCCUAUUAGUGGGGGACAACAUCUCGAAAGGGAUGCUAAUACCGCAUACGUCCUACGGGAGAAAGCAGGGGAUCACUUGUGACCUUGUGCUAAUAGAUGAGCCUAAGUCGGAUUAGCGAGUUGGUGGGGUAAAGGCCUACCAAGGCGACGAUCUGUAGCGGGUCUGAGAGAAUGAUCCGCCACACUGGGAGUGGAACACCGCCCAGAAUCCUACGGGAGGCAGGAGUGGGGAAUAUUGGACAAUGGGGGGAACCCUGAUCCAGCCAUGCCGCGUGUGUGAAGAAGGCCUUAUGGUUGUAAAGCACUUUAAGCGAGGAGGAGGCUUACCUAGUUAAUACCUGGGAUAAGUGGACGUUACUCGCAGAAUAAGCACCGGCUAACUCUGUGCCAGCCGCCGCGGUAA